UGCAAGUCGAGCGGUAACAGAGAGAAGCUUGCUUCUUUGCUGACAAGCGGCGGACGGGUGAGUAACGCGUAGGAAUCUACCUAAUAGUGGGGGAUAGCCCAGGGAAACUUGGAUUAAUACCGCAUACGCCCUACGGGGGAAAGCGGGGGAUCUUCGGACCUCGUGCUAUUAGAUGAGCCUGCGUAAGAUUAGCUUGUUGGUGAGGUAAGAGCUCACCAAGGCGACGAUCUUUAGCUGUUCUGAGAGGAUGAUCAGCCACACUGGGACUGAGACACGGCCCAGACUCCUACGGGAGGCAGCAGUGGGGAAUAUUGGACAAUGGGGGCAACCCUGAUCCAGCAGCCGCGGUAAUACG
rnacentral:rRNA from 1 species